CUAAUGAGGGGCAGCUGCUAUAAAAGACUGCAGUUCAGCAUGGGGGAAGGUGGUAGAGUGGGGGGGAGGGGAAUUAUAGAUGUUUCUUGUGGUUGGAAGGAUUUAGUAGCCCUAGGGAGGCAAUACCUUGCUCAUGGUAGGAGAUAUCAGCAAGCUAACACAGAUUGUAUCCUGGAGGAAAGGAUGAAGUAACAUAUGGUUCUACCUGCAAGAUGAGAAAUAGUGACUCUGAGAUCAAAAGACUUGUAGGAAUAAUCUGUGCUGAAUUUUAAGUUAUUCAGAAUAACAUUCAGAGGUUGUAUGUGCUGCAUAUGCAUGGAGGGAGAUCUUUAAGAGCUACUUAGAGUAGUGCAAGGGAAUGAGAGAAUAGCACUGAAGGCAACCCAAGGUUCCUGUCCAACCUUGCAAGGAAACGGUUGGGUAAAGGAGUUCCUUCCAGGUAGCCCUUGACAGGGCUGAGACAGCAAUCUACACUGCUUAUCUCUGCUGCUGAAGCUGCUUGGUGCCAAGACAGUCAUGUGGGCUGAAGAGAAACUGCAGACAUCCAAAGAGGUUGUCAAGACUACAGCUACAGUUUACCAAGAAUCUGCUUUUGCUCCAUGGGGAGGGCUUAAACUUGGAGAUCAAAGUGUCAUGAUGAACACUUAGCUGGCAUGGAUUUCUGACAUGAAAAAUCAUCAAGUGCUAUCCUUUGCUGGACUGUGGCUCACCAUUCCUCUCAUUAGGCACAUGGCCAGGCUCCAUGGGGUAUGUGGAAGCUGCAAAGACUAACAUCUGGAUGUUUGUACAGGGGCUAAGCUGCUCAGGGGAAGAUCAGAUCAACAUGCAAGGGCAAAUAACAGGAAAAACUCACUGCAAAGAGGAGUGGCAGCUGUCAGAAAGUAGGGGUUACUGCUUGGGGCAAGCCUAUUUCUUAGAAGAAGAGUACGCUUUCCUGCAGUGAAAUAAUUAUUGUUUCUGAGAGACAGGAACCACUACAGAAUCACUUUUCAAUCUGCAAAAUCCAAGCAGUGACCACUUCAAAGCAAGAUAAAAGGAGACGUUGAUCUGCUUUAGCCUCUGACUGUUCCUAGAGUUUUCUACUUCUUGAAGACUUUCCUGGCAAAGGAAGUAUUGCUACAAGUGGAAGGAAGAAGCCUGCUGUGCUCUUCUCUGAAGAUAUGUCUUCUCCUUAAGCCUUCUAUCAGCAUGUGUCACAGUGGCAUUUUGCAAAUUUGCUGUGCAUUCCUACACACCAAAUGUUUAUUACUCAUUUUAAGAUGUUUCAUCAGAACAUGGGAAAAUAUGCUAAGGUAUCUGGCCCAGCUGUAUAUAGAAGGUGAUUCAGUCCAGUGUAACCAGUUUUAAAAAAAAUGUCCCUGCUUGUCCACCUUGGUGUGGUCUUGGAAAGCCUACGCCAGGGAUGAAACCUGCUGACAUGCUUUUGAAGCAGGUUUCAGGGCAUACAUAUGCCAUUCCUGUGUGAAGUUCAGGCUCUUCAGGUAUGUAGAAAUCAGGAUACUCUUGCAGAGGUCAAAUGAACAGAGAAGUAGAGACCAGAGAGGACCAAGGAACAAAAGGGCUGCACUGCAGCUGAAAAUUCAUCCUACUCUCUUUGGAAUUGAGCAAAUCUCUUCCAAAGUGUAUAGUGCAAAUUUCCUGUUUAUCACAGAGGAAAAGAUAUGGACUUGAGCAUGAAUCUGUGGUCCUUAACCAGACUGCACCAGCUAGGAAGACUUGGUGAUUUGUUUGCUGUUGGAGAAAGACUCUUCAAUAUUUCUCCUUGAAAUCAGGUCCUGUAGCUGUCACUGUACUGGACAUGACGAAUGAGAGUCUCAGCCACAACCUUUGCUGGAGUUACAAGGAUGGGACUUAGAACUCCCUGAUCCUGUUUCGGGCUUUGCUGCCUUGCAGUUGUCAAAGUUGAGCAAUGUCCCUAGAGUUUCUGGUCACAAGCAGGCAAAGGCAUUCCUUGGUGCAGUACUGCUGCUGCCUGUGUCAAUGUUGUUGCAAAGGCAGAUUAAUUGGAGGUCUGUGGGAACCAUCUCCAAUCCAGAUAAUUCCACUUUAGCUGGAGCUUUUUGUUUUCUCAUUUUGGAAGGGUGCUCCAAAAAAACCCCCAAAAACAUUAUACUCUUAAAAUCAUUGCAGAGUUCAAAUAGGAAUCAAAACUGGUUUGAAUUAAACUUCUUGUGUAACCUCAGAUGUUAUUCUGUUGUACGUUGUCUUGCUUGCUGAAAUGUUUCUCUUUAAUUUUUUUCCCCUCAGCCAUAGGCACAUUAUCACUACAAGAGAUAAUGAGACUGAGUUCCCGUGGCUACCACACCAUGAAUCUGAACUGUCUCUUUACACCCCUAGGAAGCACUCCAUAGCCAUAGAUUGAGGCAGAAGCGUGAGGCUGUUCAUGUGGGAGGUUUGUCAUGCUGCUGUCCUAGAGAUAAGCAGAAAGCUUCACUGAACAAAGCUGCACUAGCAUUAACCACACAGCUCUUAGAGACAGCGCAUAGGCACAUCCUAAUUAAUCAUAAUUAUGCAAACUCAGGCAUUUGCAUAUAGCACCGUGCACGGAGUUGCAGGGAAUUUGGCAGUGAUGCCUCCUUGCUGUGACUCAGCCAAGAAGGGAACCUCAGCACCUGCCCCAGGAAAUCAGACAGAGACGAGACCCUGGGCUCUCCCAGCUGGGAACAAGGGAAAAAAACAAAGGCUUGCUUAAGGUUGCGGUGUAGCUUCUAUUUCCCUACUUAAUGAGGAUGCUACCUCUCUGCUUUAUACUUUCCGUCUGAGAUUUGC
ensembl:lncRNA